ensembl:scaRNA small Cajal body-specific RNA 13
CCUCUGUAGUCCAAGAGAUGCCCUUGGUUGUUAGUACUCUGGGCAUACCAGGCUUGCAGAGAGAGCACCUGUGUGAGGAAGCCGAGGCAUGCCUGUAAGAGUCGCAGCAGCAACAUGCGCAAUAUUCCUCUAACAGGUAACGAUUCUGUUGCCACGGAGAUAAUGACUUAUCCCAUGUCAUUAUUGAUCUAUCAACAGUAAGAGCAAUUUUGCAGUCUGAUAUUGUUUAGCAAAUAGAGUAACAUCUGCUGAACACUGAAAAACUGCUAUAAAU